UAAAGAGAGACCCUGGGCACUGUUUGGUAUCACUAUGCACCUAUAUAAGCCGGCCUUACUUUUGUUACUUAUCACUGUCCCUUAACCUAAUUUGGUCACACCAUGGAUGCCUGAGACAGUUUUGCAAGCUUCCUCAACUCAUCUUCACCUCGUCUUUUGUUAUUCUUUGCAACUUACGGCAUGUAUUUGAUCACUUUGCAGCUGCUUUACACAAUUUACAGUUGUGCACGAUGCAUUUGCAACUGUCCAAAAUGACUUUCCUUUGUUGUCGCCGAUUAAACCCGUAAAGGGGGAUUCCACUCAUGAAACGGGUAUUUUUCCCAUAUACAUUACACUCUUCGGAAUACAAAUGCACCCGACUUUUGACUAAAUCACCACGACUGACUUUUCGACCAAACACUGUUCUAAACCUAUGAACCCCCAUACGGGACCGCUUCCAAUUCUCGGCUUUGACCUGACGUCACGGGUUUUCCAAAUAUGGGCAUCCACACAGAUCAAAACACGAAGCAGACGACAAAGUGUCAUGGCGGACUCAGGCGGCCGUGGCUCAGACUAGUUCGACCCAGACUACAUUAUGCCAUACGCAUAUGAGCCUGAACGUGAUUCUGGAGAGUCGGAGAGUAGCGAUGAGAACAAUUAGCCUGCAGAAGCCUUUGCUGGGACCGCCACGCAACCAGAGGCGGCAUGAGACGGCCGGGAUUACGAGACGGAGGGUUGCAUGCAUGCUAGCGCCAAGAAGCAUAUGGUGCAGAUGCGAUGACUACAACUGCAGCCUACAGUGUGUGAGUGUAUGUGUUGCCACGACCUUCGUGAGCUGACAGAUCCCGUGGACCACAGCAACCCCGAUCGCAGCGGUAUGGGCGUCGGGAGCGGCCGUAGCCAGCUGAAAUGCGUCAAGCUACACGAGGAAUUCCAUCCCGUCUCAUGAGGUCUGUGAAAACUGCACUUAUAUUAUCUACAGUGACAAAAUGACUUGGACUGGAAGAUGUCAGGGAGCCAUUGAGAAAUAGAAUCUUACAACUGUCAGCGUACAGACAGUUUUCGUGCUGGGUCCACAAGAAUCAUCUUGGGAGAUCAGUGUAGCGCGUGGUUCCAGCCUGUGCAGUCACCAAAAUAAGACAGACUUAUCCCUCUAAAGAUGAGACUAAUUACAUAGGACAUUUUCCUGUUAAGAUAUUUCGCCACCACAUGUUCAAUUGCUAAAUUGAUCUGACGUUAAACCAGAGAGUGAUCUAUAAGUCUGUAUUCUACUAACUUUUUACUGUUAGGGUUAUCCAUUCUUGUUAAGCUUGGGGUUAGAAUUAGAAUUAGGGUGAGGCUUUACUGCUAAAAUAAAACAAUCUUGAUAACAGUGUUACACAGUUUCCACAUUAUUUGCACUAUAACAGGUGCAUUCAACCAAAUGCGGACAUCUAUCUACCUCACCUGUAUAAAUUUAUCUACCUAUUCAUGGUUUAUACAACAGGCCAAAUAGAAACCUUGAACAUAUUAAGUAUCCUUAUUUUCAUAUUCCUUUGAACUAGAUAUACAGCAAGAAAGACAUGUAUAUUAAAUCAAUAUACAAUUACAUUUCUGUGUAAUUUUCAAAAAUAGGCAGGGAAAACUUUGGUGGACACACAUAUAUUGUUGUAAAACAGCAUUUGUUUCUGACAUAUGUAGGCAGGAUAUUUAUGAAUAAAAUGAUCCACUGGA